ACGAGUUAGGGCCUCUGGCCCGAACCUCCAACCCUUUGUAUCAAAACCUCGUUGCCUCGGGGAGGCCCUGCCUCACGGCUGGCCCCCCGAUGGACCACUAAACUCUGCAUCUGUAUGACGUCUGAGUAAAGAUCUAAAUAAAUCA
rnacentral:misc_RNA from 1 species